rnacentral:rRNA from 1 species
GACGGGCCCGCACAAGCAGCGGAGCGUGUGGUUUAAUUCGAUGUUACACGAAGAACCUUACCAGGGUUUGACAUGCAAGUGGUAGGAAGCCGAAAGGUGACCGACCCUUCGGGGAGCUUGCACAGGUGCUGCAUGGCUGUCGUCAGCUCGUGUCGUGAGAUGUUCGGUUAAGUCCCGUAACGAGCGCAACCCUUGUCCAUAGUUGCCAGCACGUAAAGGUGGGAACUCUAUGGAGACUGCCGGUGACAAACCGGAGGAAGGUGGGGAUGACGUCAAAUCAUCAUGCCCCUUAUGUUCUGGGCUACACACGUGCUACAAUGGCCGGUACAGACGGAGGCGAAGCCGCGAGGCGGAGCAAAACCGAAAAAGCCGGUCUCAGUUCGGAUUGCAGGCUGCAAUUCGCCUGCAUGAAGUCGGAAUCGCUAGUAAUCGCAGGUCAGCAUACUGCGGUGAAUACGUUCCCGGGCCUU